GUCUGUUGUACCUGAUUCUAGCCCGGGAAGCCGUGGUUCUAGCGUCACUGCUUCACUUGACAGCAGCAUCCUCCAAACGUCUGGGGUUCUAACAGUGUCACCAGGGGACAGUACUCUGUCUGUUGUACCUGAUUCUAGCCCGGGAAGCCAUGGUUCUAGCGUCACUGCUUCACUUGACAGCAGCAUGCACCAAACAUCUGGGGUUCUACCAGUGUCAUCAGGAGAGAUCAUCAUUUCACCAAGUUCCCCAAGUUUAUCUGUUCAAUCGUCAUCCGUUUUGGUGACGCCUAAUGAGGACCAGCUUGUUCGCAUUGAAAUAGGACUGCCAAGAAAUUUCAGUUCUGCGGCAGAUCCCGGGCUUUCGAGUUACCUACAAGAAAAGCUAACCGAGAUUUACAACACGGGCAAGGCAAGGUUGGGAAAUCGCAGAAAAAGAGCAACGAGCAAUGCUGAAGUUCAGGUAACUGACAUCAAGGAACAACCAUCUGGGGGAUUGGCCGUGGAGUUUUAUGUAGUAGAGGAUGGCAAAGUUGUAUCUGCUGAAACCGUCAUAGCGGCUUUUGC